GAUGCUUUCUUCGCCGGGUCCAAUCUGUUGGAGUAUCACAUCGCUAACGACCCUGAGUGUGAGAUAGUCAAAGUCGGGAAUGUGGCCGCCGCGGAGGGAUACGCCUUUGGGGUCCGAAAAGGCUCUGCCCUGAAGGACCCUGUGUCGUCCCUGAUCCUGCACUACUCCAGUAACGGUUAUCUGGACGAGCUGACACAGAAGUGGUACUCUACAGGGAGCUGCCACAAGAAGAAGCGGGAUCCAAACGAAGAAAAGCGCCAGCUGGGGGUUAAGCACGCAGAGGGUUUGGCCCUUUUCAUGAUCGGUGGGA